rnacentral:rRNA from 1 species
UACGUAGGGUGCAAGCGUUGCUCGGAAUCAUUGGGCGUAAAGGGCUCGUAGGUGGCCAACUAAGUCCGACGUGAAAUCCCAAAGCUUAACUUGGAACUGCGUCGGAUACUGGAUGGCUUGAAUUCGGGAGAGGGAUGCAGAAUUCCAGGUGUAGCGGUGAAAUGCGUAGAUAUCUGGAGGAAUACCGGUGGCGAAGGCGGCAUCCUGGACCGAGAUUGACGCUGAACGACGAAAGCUAGGGGAGCAAACGGGAGUUAGAAAACCCUUGUA